CCCCCCCCUUAUCUCUUCAGGGUCCGGAUCAUAAGUGGAAGGCUUCCAGAGGCCCUCCCGCCUCGCAUUCUUGUGGGAGGAUGUCAUGGAGAGGCUGGACAGACUGCCCCCCCCCGCCCCCACCCUGAAGCCAUUGUCUGAGGGGAACAGGGGGGCAUGGGUGAGGAUGAGCAGACCAGAGCGGAGGUCCAUCUCAUGACCAGAAAGGUCUAGAGGGCUUUGGGGGGGGGGGGGGAGGAAGGAGGGCGGUACAGGCUGUGUAAACCAAGGUUCUGAGGAUCUGCUUGGGAAGAAAGGAAGUGGAACCAUCAGAAAGGACUUUGGUAACCACACUCCGGUGACUCACACCUGUAAUCUCAGCUACUCAGGAAGCAAAGAUCUAGAGGAUCAUAGCUCAAAGCCAGCCCAGG